rnacentral:lncRNA from 1 species
UCUAGAAUGGUUACCUAAAAGAAAAGAGGUGACUCCAUCUUGGUAUGUCCUUAUAGCAUGGUACACAUCACAUACUCACAAAAUGCUUAUUAAAUAGAACCGAAAAAAAUCACUUGAUUUCUUCCUGAUCUAACCUCUCCAACAUUGAGUACUUCGGCAUCAAACAGGAUAACUAAUGUUCAAAUGCUUGCUACUUCUAAUAGCAGAUGUACAUAAGUCAUGGUAAACAACAAAAGUAUAAAAGCUAUUAUGGAUAGUUUUCUUCGAUUUAUUUUUAACAAGUAAAACCAGCCAUUGUUAUAGAAAAUAGUAUCAGGAAAGGAGGCAGUAUGAAAAUUGCUAAUCAUAAACAAACAACAACAAAAAAAACCAUAAAGUUAAAUUGACAUGACUUCUUUUUUUCUUGUCCCCCCAAAUGUAGUAUUAAAAACAUGGAGCUUAAAACAUCCUGAAUGUCACAGUAAAAUAAGAACUCAAAAACCAGUAUUUUUUUUUUCUGUGUAUCUUUCUAGACAUUUUAUUAGGGAUUUGAAACAUGUGUGCCCAAAUGACUUCCUCACCAACACUAUGAAUGACGCAUGACUAGAAUGUUCAUGAAACUUUUUUUUAAAUUAUACAAUAUCGUUUUAACCCUUAAAUGACUGACCACUGAGAAGAGUCCAGAAUAAUGUGGCGUUUUAGUGAUGUAACACUUUGUACUGCUUUAAAGUAGCUUUUUAUAAACUUCGCAAAGUCCUAGGGAAGAAAGGAGACAAGAAAAGCUGACUGAAGGUAGAUUUUAAAUUGGAUAAGAUGAGACAAGUGAACUUCUUAUUUUUUUCCCCAAGCUUAAAAAAACAAAACUGUACUAGCACCUUCUUUCUUGUUGUAUGAAGUUACAAUGUUCUGCCUGACUUUCCAGGUCCUCUGUAGGACCUUUCCAGGUCCUCUGAACCAUUCAGCACAUACAACCAUCUCAUCCCCAUCUGCCGUCCAGGCACAAGACUCUGGCAACCAGGCCAGGCUGUCUACUGACUCCCCAAAAUACAGCUGCUCUUUCCUUAUGGCUGAGCUGUUCUGCUAAGGAUUCUGUCCCCAGCAUGGCCAUUCCUCUUUCCCGAACUUAAUCACUUCCUACCUGUCCAUACCCCUAAGACUAGCUCAGGAAUCAACCUCUCUCCACUCUGACCCUCAGAGUCCUUCUCUCCUGGAAUGCCCGCAUCACUUAGAAUCCUCAGGACACAACUGAGUGCAUGACUACGGACACUUUUACAUUGCUUGCUUUCUCACGCUCUGUGCUAGUUUUGAUCUCCCACUAAAUUGAAACCUCAGGAACAUGCGUUAUACUUCUUUAUCCAUCUUGGACAGUGCUCAGCUCAUGCGUAUUCUUUCAAACACUAUGUAAUAAGCACUUACUAUGUGCCAGAUAGUAUUCUAAAUAUUACAAAAUACAGCAGUGAAAAAAAAAUAACCCUCUGUCUUCAAGGAGCUUACAUCUACAGGGAGUGGAACGAAAGGGACAAUAAUAAGAGACCAGGUCAGAAAUGUAACAUGGCACCCCCUGGCAUACAGUCUGUGAGCCAUUAUAAGAAUCUGACUUCUCUGAGUCACAUGACAUGACUUAUAUAUUCAAAUGGUCCUUACAGCUAUUGUGUUGGAAAUCUCUAAUAAGGGAGCAAAGGCAGAGCAGGCAGAUGAGUUGAAGGAACCUGCAAUCAUCCAAGGGGUAGUGGGGGCUUAGACCAGGAAAGCAUAGUAGACGUGGUGAUAAAGGAUCAUAUUCUAGGUACCUUUUGAAUGUAGUGAUGACAGGACUUGCUGACAGAAUGGAUUUGGGUGACAAAAGGACAAAGGAGCCAAGAGCGGCCCAGUGGAUUUUAGCCCGAGCAACCCAGAAGACGGAGGAGCAUGAGGGGCCUCAAUUGGCUGAUCAGCCAAGAAAACUCGGGCCUGGUCGACAGCAUUCAGGACAGAAUAUUCUUUCUCCUUUAACUCCCGUCUCAGGGCCUUUCAAAAGAGAAGCAAAAGUUGAGUUUGUAACCUCACGUGUUCACCAAAUUAUGGGACAUCUUCAACUAUACCACUUCUGACCACACUUAGCAAGAAAAUGACUAAUAGCAAGCAUUUCAGCUAAGUUAGAAGCCAAAAUGUAAAUUUUAUAGAUAUGAAUGAAGAAAAAUACAAAGGAAAAAAGAUAAUUUCUGUAAACGUUAAGUAUACAAAAAAAGAAACAGCUUUAAAAUAUUCACUUAAGGGAAAUUGUUACAGUGUAUUUGAAUUUACACAAAAUGUACUUUUAGGAUUUUCACUGAUGUCAGAUUGAUAAAAUAUAAUAGCCUUUGCUAAGAUACUUUUUUCUUGUAAGACUGACUGACAAAAAAAUUACAUCCAAUGAUACAGAGAAAGGUAAUUUCACAAGUAGCAAUAAGAUCCUCAGAAGGGUUUUACAUUAUUUAGAAUACAUUAAGAAAAAAAAAUGAAGCGAUAGAAACAAAGUACAUACAUGAAAUCAAAAAUAAACCAAUGAGGGCACAUAUAAAACAGUCUCCAAUUAUCUUAAAAUAUGUUCCAUCUCUCAUGCUGAGGCAAUUACUAUUUUUCUUUUGUGAGGUUUUUCAUGCAAAUCUAUGAUUCUCAGAAUAGUUUCUCUUUAGCACCUUUGUUCCUUGAAGUGGAGCUAAACUUUCACCCCUGCACCUAUAAAAACAACCAAACUCCUUCAGUGACUGCUGCAAGAUAAGAGUAAUGAAGAUUUUCCCAGGUGCAAUUUUAACGCUGUUGCCAAAUGGAAUUUGUUAAUGUUGUUAUCCUCUUAAAAUUAAACACAUAACCACCUACUGGCUCUAGUAUUUUGCCUUCGGUGUAGUUCCCUGGCAACCUAUUAUGAAAAGUCAGACUUUUAUUUUCUAAAAUACUGAACUUUCAUUAUAUGUUAGAAUGAAUAAAAUCUUUCCUUUUGAAGACAACUAAAUUUUUAGUAGUAUUUGACAUCACUAUGUUGAGAUGCUACAGUAUUUGCAGGCUAGAUCCUUUUCUUCCAUAGUCAAUAAAAGGUAAGAAUGAAAAAAUCUAGAAAUACCAGAAUAAUUAUCUUAUAUAAAAAUAUGGAUCUAAGCAACAUACACACAAAAAAACCCUGGUAAUGAAGCUGACAGAGACUAAUGGGCUACAUUUUCUAUAUCCAGAAAAUCUCAUGAUAGCCUUUAGGAAAUCUAAAGAUUCAAGGAGGAUUUAGCAGUAAAUCAAGAGUAGAGUGCUUGAUUGAAUAAGGCCAUGAAGCAUGCACACGCCACCCGUUACCCUCCUCAAGUACUACUCUAGAAACCACUAUUACUGAUAAUUUUCCUACUCGUGUAUAGAGGAGAUAAGUCAUAACAUGGUAAGCAUACUGGAAAGUGUGCUUGGACUAACCAAAGUGUAGCUUAACCCUCACAGGUGGGGAGGGAUGAGAAGAGCUGACAAGAACUAGUGAGAGACGGAGUGACAAAAAUGCUAUUUUUUUGUGUGUAAGCAUUGUAAAUAUUAUUUUGAUUUUUAAACUAUACAAUUAUUACUUUGAUAAAAAAUUUAAAUGAACGAGCAAAGUGAACCAAAAAAUCCACAAUUAAGAUAUAGUGAUGUAACACAGGAUAUAGGAUAAAAUAAAACUUUCUCUAAAAUGCAAAGGUACAUUUAUAUGUCCUUCCUAGAUCCAUAAAACCAAAGACUGACAGCGAAGCAAGCACAAAUCAACUAAAUUCACACAGCAAUUAUCACUGAUGAGCAUUAAAUGACUAUGUUGGUGGGUGGGGGCGGGGAUAACAAACCUUCCAUCAUCUCCUAUUUAACAAACGCAGCUUGUGAAGAAAUCGCAGGAUGUGUGACAUUCAGGAAAUUAAAAAAAAAAAAAGAUUAUAUACAUCUGGCACUUAAAGUUUUAAUAUAUGGAAAUAAAAAGAGAUACAAGAAAAAUGGAAAAAAAAAGAUUUUUAAUCCAAAAAAAUACACAUUUACAAGUCUUGAGCCAGUUCUUUAACUUAGAUUAUUAUGUUGUUAGAGCAAGAAGCUCUAGAGGAAUAAAAAUAUUCCUAGCAUUUACUUCCAUAAUCACCUAAAAAUAUAUAAUAACGACAUGAAAAAUCAUGUUACUUAAAAAAUAGUGAAAACCAGCAGGUAAUAUAGCAAAAUUAUUUUUUUUAAUUUUAGUGGUCAAGAUAUUUCCAAAAUCCAAAUCAAAUCAGUAAAUAUGGGAGCAGUAAACAUUCCUUUUUUUUUUUUUUUUUUGAGAUGGAGUCUUACUCUGUCACCCAGGCUGGAGUGAAGUGGCAUAAUCUUGGCUCACUUGCAACCUCUGCCUCUCAGGUUCAAGUGAUUCUCCUGCCUCAGCCUCCCAAGUAGCUGGGAUUACAGGUGCCUGCCACUGCACCCAGCUAAUUUUUCUACUUUUAAUAGAGAUGGGAUUUUACCAUGUUGGCCAUGGUUGGCCAGGCUGGUCUCAAACUCCAGACCUCAGGUGAUCCACCUGCCUUGGCCUCCCAAGUGCUGGGAUUACAGCUGUGAGCCACCACACCCAGCAAGGAGUAGUUUGUUGGGUUUUUUUGUUUGUUUGUUUUGUUUUUUGAGACAGAGUCUCGCUGUGUUGCCCAGGCUGGAGUGCAGUGGUGCGAUCUCAGCUCACCGUAACCUUCACCUCUACCUCCUGGGUUCACGCCAUUCUCCCGCCUCAGCCUCCUGAGUAGCUGGGACUACAGGGCCCCAUCACCACGUCUGGCUAAUUUUUUUGUAUUUUUAGUAGAGAUGGCAUUUCACUGUGUUAGCCAGGAUGGUCUCGAUCUCCUGACCUUGUGAUCCGCCCGCCUUGGCCUCCCAAAGUGCUGGGAUUAUAGGCAUGGGCCACCACGCCUGGCUCAGGAGUGGUAAAGAUUCUUAAAAUGCUGUGCAAGGCCUGUGCUAGAUUUCUUCCUGGGGAAGGGGAAGUUCCAGGAAUGUACAGAUUUAAUGCAAGCCACUGAAGAGAAGAUGAAGAUCUUAGAACAGGUCUUCACUCUGGUUUAUCAAAUAGGAGGAAGAAUUCACACAAUGGCAUUUAGAAUUUAGCACAAAAGAUCAACCAGAAAACACCAAUAGGCAAUAAUGUGGAAAGAUUAAAAACUGAGAGAAGACGGGACAUAAAGGCAAAUGACUCAGAGAAGGAAGAGCAGAGGCAGAACUGGCCCUCUGGAAAUAUAAAACUAUUACGGGGCAUAUAUUUUACAGGCAAAUCCAGAUCUUUUGUUGGAGAAAGAAGACAAUAUGAUCUGUGCAACUUAGGUGUACAGUAAUUUCUGAUUAGGAAUUCUAGACUAUUAAUAGUCCACAAAAUGUGCAUUGUGCAGGGGUGUGGGGAGGGAAGAGGGCAAAGGAGAGAUUUGUCUUGGAACUUCUUUUUAGAUUUCAAAAAUUGAAAUGGAAAUAUGUACAUAUUGGUCUAUAGAAAGGAUACUUUGGAAAACCAACCUAUCAACUUCCUUUAUGGAUGGAAUUUUAUUUGUUUAACAUGGAGACUCUCACAAUAGAGUAAUCUCUUUGGCUGUCUGUUUGCUCUGCCUGGAAAGCUCUUUCCCUAGAUUUAGCCAUAUCACAGAUUCCCUCAUCCUUUUUAAGGCUGUCUAGAAGGUGAGGCCCACCCACCUACCUUAUUGAAUGUAGCAUUCCACCUUUCUCAUCCCCUACAUUUCCCAUUCUCAUUAUUCUGCUUAACUAUCUUUGUAUUUCCUAGACCUGGCACCUUCUACUAUGCAAAAGAGGUGACAUUUCUAUAUUUCUUGUUUAGUCCCUCUCUUAGAUAAAAUAUAAGCUCCACUAGACCAGGGACUUUUUCUGUUUUUGUUCAGCAUGGUAAACAAAGCACCCAGACUAAUGCCAUGUCUGGGACCUAGUAGAGCCUUGGGGGAUCUGUAAUGCUUCCUGGGGGAGGUGGUGCGUAAAUUGAGUCUUGCAGAGAGGGAAAGGUACUCCCAGCAAAGGAAACUAAACACUAGCAGAGAAUGCAGGAGUGUCACAGUGUGCGCCCUCAGGGAACUAUAAAAACUUCAGUACUCAGAGAGCGGUAGCAGCUGAAGCUGAAGGUGUGGGCGGAGGUCAGGCCACAAAGACCACUGCACUGCUUCCUAUGCACUGAGACUCACUCAACCCAAUCAUGGGCUAUGGGAAGCCACUGACAAGUUGGGGGGUAUUGUCAGAUUUUUAUUUUUGUUUUUUAUAAUGUAUCAUUGUCAGGUCUCCUGGAUUCAUUAAAAGCAAGUCUGAGUCUUAGAUUGUAUUUUGCUUCCUAACCACAUUAAACUCCGUGCUUCAGAAAACAAAAAAAAAAGAAAAAGAAAUCCUCUCUGCGCAGGGUGCUGGCUGGAGAAUGUCUCGCGAACUCCUUUGAUAUGCCAAUGUAGGGAAGUACAGGAGGCAAGCCUGGGCAGGUGGGAACCAUGCCAAUUCUGUUCCAGAUAAUAACAACUUUUGGUGAGGAUGUGAAGAAACAGGAACCUUGAUGCUUGUUGGUGGAAUGGUAAAAUUGCAACCUGUAUUAGUCCAUUCUCACGCUGCUAGUAAAAACAUACCUGAGACUGGGUAAUUUACAAAGGAAAGAGAUUCAAUGGACUCAUAGUUCCCCAUGGCUGGGGAGGCCUCACAAUCAUUGCAGAAGACGAAGGAAGAGCAAAGGGACGUCUUACAUGGCGGGAGGCAAGACAGCAUGUGCUGGGGAACUCUCCUUUAUAAAACCAUCAGAUCUUGUGAGACUUAUUCCCUAUCACAAAAACAGCAUGGGAAAAACCUGCCCCCAUGAUUUAAUUACCUCCCACUGGGUCCCUCCCAUGACAUGCGGGGAUUAUUACAAUUCAGUGAGAUUUGGGUGGGGACACAGAGCCAAACCAUAUCACAGCCACUCUGGAAAUCAGUUUGGCAUGUCCUCAAAAUGCUAAACACAGAGUUGUCAACAUGACCCAGCAAUUCUACACAUAGGUAUAUACCGAAGAAAAAGAAAAACAUGUCCACAUAAACACUCAUACAUGAAUGUUUAUAGUAGCCUUAUUCAUAAUAGCCAAAAGAUGGACACAACCCAAAUAUCCAUCAACUGCUGAAUGGAUAAACAAAAUGUGAUAUAUCCAUAAUACAAUGACAUCUUAUUCAGUAAUAAAAAUGAAUGAAAUACUGAUAUGUGCUAUAACAUGGAAGAAUUUUAAAAUCAUGCUCAUUGAAAGAAGCUAGACAUGAAAGGGCAUAGUGUAAGAUUCCAUUACCAUGCAAUGUCCCAAACAGGCAAGUCUAGAGAGGCAG